rnacentral:rRNA from 1 species
UAGGGAAUUUUUGCGCAAUGGGGGGAAACCCUGACGCAGCAACGCCGCGUGAACGAGACGCCCUUCGGGGUGUAAAGUUUUGUCAGUGGGGACGAACAAAUGACGGUACCCACAGAGGAAGCACCGGCUAACUCCGUGCCAGCAGCCGCGGUAAUACGGAGGGUGCAAGCGUUGUCCGGAAUCAUUGGGCGUAAAGAGUUCGUAGGCGGCAUGUAAAGUCAGGUGUUAAAGGCUGAGGCUCAACCUCAGUAUGGCACUUGAUACUUGCAAGCUAGAAUGCGGUAGAGGUAAAGGGAAUUCCUGGUGUAGCGGUGAAAUGCUUAGAUAUCAGGAGGAACAUCGGUGGCGUAAGCGCUUUACUGG